rnacentral:rRNA from 1 species
UACGUAGGGGCCGAGCGUUGUCCGGAGUUAUUGGGCGUAAAGCGCGCGCAGGCGGCCUCGCGCGCCCGACGUGAAAGCCCCCGGCUUAACCGGGGAGGGUCGUUGGGGACGGCGGGGCUUGAGGGCGGGAGAGGUCGGUGGAAUUCCCGGUGUAGUGGUGAAAUGCGUAGAGAUCCGGAGGAACCCCAGAGGCGAAGGCGGCGCCCUGGCUCGCAACUGACGCUGAGGCGCGAAGGCUAGGGGAGCGAACGGG